GACCCUCCAAACCCUCUUUGCAAGCAGCUUUGGCCGGCUGGCAGAGUCCCCUCUAAUAUUGGUUCACAGUUGCUGUUUAAAUACCUUAAAGAGAACUACGUGAUCUGUGUUGGAAGUGCUAACGCAGUCUGAGUGUGGCAAAGGAAAGUCAUCACUCUAGGGGUGAGGGCUGAGAAGCCUACCUGAAAAGCUUUAAGGUGAUGGUGCAUAAUGGGCCUUCAGUAUCUGUCUGUGUUAGCUCUUGUGCCACCACCUCCCGCUCCCUCAGGUGGGCCUGCUGAGAAUCCCUGCUGUUGAGAAGGAGAAGUUGAAAGUACCAUGGGCUGUAUGGGAAGAGGCAGGAGGGGUGUUGGUUAUGGAGAAUGGUGUGUGAGAUUUGUUUCAUAUGUUUUCAGACCAGACUACAGGACAUGAUUUUUGUUUUACUCGCACUGUUUUCUUGUCUGUUGUCCAAAGAGAAGUUAUGCCUUGACAAGACCAGUGGAAGUGCCUCUUGCACUAAAUUAGUGCACUAAAUUAGGAGGGAAAUGGCUCAGAUGUAAAUUAAGAGGAUGCUUCGCAUGGCAAAAGCAGUGUACACACAUGGCACUGGCACAGGACGGGGACAGGUCUGGUUCGAGGGCAGUGGAGAACCUUUGCAGCCAGCAGCUGCCGUUGCAGGUGGGAGCAGGCUGGCUCUGGAGCCGGAGUUCCAGAGAAGGUUUCCAACACUCGUGGUCAUGGACUUGGAGAUAUUUCCUGGCUGCCUCCGUGCUGUGGUUGAGAUGGACUCACCCAAACUGCUGCUUCUGUUGAGGAGCAAGGGGUGGGGACAAUUUGAGGUGGGGACAUAUACAAUUAUUCUGCCAAGCGAACUCAUGAGAACUGUGCUGUAUAAUUUAUAACAGGGUUUAAGGAAAAGCUGCUAGUGCCAACUGUAAACAUGGAGGAGGAUGUUCACUUCCCUGGGGAAGGGUUAGUUCCUCUUUGAGAGGAAUUAGAGCACCCGCUGCAUUAAAAACAUGCAUUUGGGAAGCCAGUCCCAAAGCAGCUCACGCAGAGGACACAGGCUAGUAAGAAACCCAGAAAGAUGUAGGAUGUAAAGCUGCAGGUUCAGGGAAGUUUUGUGGAAAAAAAAUAAAAAUAAAAUAAGUCUGGUUGGUGGUUAUUUAAUGUUAUUGUUUAGUUAAAUGAGCUGGUUUGUGAAACUAGUGUGGAAGCGGAGGAGAGGAUUUGAAAUGUUUUAACUGAAAUGUGUGACAGGCUUUAGCAAAGGAAGAAGAAAGAGGAAAAAGAGAAAACUGGGACUUAACUUCAUAAAUUUAUCUUUGAAAACAUUCACAGGAUUGAAAGGUGAGCC
rnacentral:lncRNA from 1 species